ensembl:snoRNA U3 Small nucleolar RNA U3
AAGACUGCUUGCAGAGAUCAUUUCUAUAGUUCGUUACUAGAGAAGUCUCUUUGACUGUGGGAAGUUUGGAAACCACGAGGAGGGGCGCAGCAUUCUCUCUUGAGCCUGAAGCUGGCACUGGGUGUCGCUUUAGCUGCAAGUGGCUCUUGCCAUUGACGAGGGUUCCGAUGGUUCCUGCUCUUCUUUGGGGGAGCUGGAGGGAGAGGACACAAUCUGAGUAGC